rnacentral:rRNA from 1 species
AGAAUCAACGCUGGCGGCGUGCCUAACGCAUGCAAGUCGCACGAGAAAGCGGGAGCAAUCCUGUGAAUAAAGUGGCGUACGGGUGAGUAACACGUGAAUCAUCUACCUUCGAGUGCGGAAUAACUGAGAGAAAUCUUAGCUAAUACCGCAUAAUACCCACGGGUCAAAGCAGCAAUGCGCUUGAAGAGGAGUUCGCGGCAGAUUAGUUAGUUGGCGGGGUAAUGGCCCACCAAGACGAUGAUCUGUA